UAAACUUUUUGAAAUUUUUUAGAUAGUUUCUAAACAAAAACAAAAUUGCAAUAAAGUCUCUGAUAAAUAUAUUUUUAUAAUUAUGUCCUUUCAUUAUAUUGUUGUUUGUCAGUUGUAACACCCUUAAAUUAACAAUGUCCUUUGGGAAAACAUCUGAAACUCAUUCACCACUGAAAAAUCACUAACUUUGACCUCACUUUACACCUUUAAUGAAGCAAACAUUACAAACUCCUCACUCAAGAACACCUCCACCUGACCCACAGUCAAGAAGUUCCCUUCAACUCGUUCCUCCGGUUUAGAAAACGUAACACUCUUGGUUAAACAAUUAAUGUUAACACUGAAAGACAACAAUCAGUUCAUUUCGAAGAUAACAUCCACAUGCUCUAAAGGUAAACAAACUAAAUCUAGCUUAUAGUAUAUGUUACCAAAAUUCACAGGACAAUCCAAACAAACCAAGGAAGUGGUCACUGAGCCAUUGCUGUGACCUAAUCCUCCUGAUUCUGGUUACAACAACAGCAGAGGCGCUCAAAUUUAUGCCUUAAGAUGUUUUCAAGUUGAAGGAAUUGUGCUUGGAUGUUAUCCAAUUUCAAGAAAUCCAUAAAAAAAAAGGUAAAUACUCAUACCCCAUCAAGUAAUUAGCGAAUUUGUGGUCAAAAAGACUCACAAAAACAAAUGGCAUAGCACCAUCAAGUAUGAUAUAGAGCAAAGACUGCAAAACUGCGUAGUUAGCAGAUGCUUCAAUAGAAGUGAGCCAAAGGGUGAAAAUAAAGAAAACAUAUGUGAUAAUAAUAUGAGAUUAAAUACAAAGACCUUCAAGCUCUUAUUUUUAUUCAACAUGGUGAAAAUGGUAUUUUGAAGUUGGAUGACUAUAAAAAUACCAAUCAUGAGGAUGAGUUGAAUUGAAUGGGUCACAAUGUUUUUCAUUAUUCCCUGGUGCUAAUAGUAGGGUUCUCAUAAGACUGAAAGUUUAGUAAAACUAGGUUUGGCUCGAUAAAAUCAUGACGUCGGAUAGAUUUUGUAUGGAUUAAAUUAUUCAUUUCAACAUAUGAUUUAAACACUUAACACCCCAAAUUUAUUAUUCAUAAUUUCACAAAUGUUAAGCAAGUUUUUGAACCUAUUGAAACUCCAUAGUUUUUAAUGAAUGAAAGUAAUGAAAUAGGGAUUAACAAGUAUGUAUUAGUUUGUGUUCGUUGAUACAUAAUUAGCAAGUGUACUAACUUAUAUCGAAGUAAUAAACUUUAUAAGAUUCGUAUCCACAGGGACUGUUUCAACUUCUACUCGGUAAUGUCAUUAUUAUUAAGGAUGUAUAUAAAAUGGGGGGUGCACUGAGGCAAUUUGGUUUGAGUUACAAAUGUAAAUAAAAUGGUUAAGGAAAAAUUGGUUUAAGAAAUAGUAUGGAGAGAUGACUAGGUCAAUCAAUUAAUCUGUUCAUCACUCAUUAGCAACCUGUUUCUUAAGUUUACGAAUGCUAUAAAGUUAACGACAAAUUAACAAAAUAGCUAGGUCAAUCCCUUGAUCCUAAGCCCUCUUUUCUGAUUAUAAUUCCCUAAUCCCUUAGGUGAACCUAUAAUCAUAAAAGGUUUUAAGUCCGUUAAUUUAAGUAUCACAACCUAACAACGCUCCAUCCCUAGAUUGUCCGUUAUAUUGAACAGUAUAGAUAUGUCAGAGUUACAUGUUGGUGUCAGCAGUCAUAUAAACUCUUGAAUCAAUUAUAUUGGGUCAGAAUCAUAAAAGCAUUAAGAACAAUUUAUACUGAAUAAACUAGAAUGACAUUCAUAAAGAUUAAGAGUUACAGGUUACAUAAACAUGAGCUAGAACAAAAUCAUCUCUUGACCUAGUCACAAAAGAUCUAACUACUCAUGGCUAAAGCACAAAUAACUAAUGUAAAAGAAGGAUUCAUUACAUGAAAUUGGUAACCGGAUAUGAGUUUUGAUGGUCUCCCACCUUCUCUCCAGAUCUCCUGCUCCAAAAGUCCGUUUCUUUCUCCAAAAUUUCGAACCCCUGGCUCAGAAAACAACUUCCCUUUUAUAGGAAAAUUCUCAGAUACGCCAAAAUCGUACUCCGAUGUUGUAAAUCGGAGCACGAUGGCUUCAUUAAAGUCAUAUCCUGGCUGGAGCGUCUGCCAAAUCGUAGCCCGAUUUGGUUCCAUCGGAGCACGAUUUUUUACGAGACAAAAUGUCUCAAAUUUGCUGUAAAAUCGGAGCACGAUGCUGUAAAUCGGAGCACGAUUUCUUAUUUGUUUGCCAACAUCAAAUGUGUCAUUUGAAGCUUCUAUCUCAUGCAAAAUCACCCGAACUCAACCAAAAUUACAUAAAAACUAUAACAAAAGUGAUAUAUGACCUAGUGUCAUCAUUCGUAUACAAUUUUUUUUUUGUUAUGCUCUAUAUUGGAGACCACAAAUUCUAAAGUUUUUUUCUCUUUUGUAUGCAACAAGACUUUGACCAUGGAAGUGUGAGAUGCAAACAAUGGUUGCAAGUCCAAUACCUUAGGAAAUCACAUUGCAAGGGGUAAUAAAUGAACUAGAAAAUCUUAAAGUGUUAAUAUAGUCGUUGAUGAAAAAACAAGAGGUUGGUGUAACAUUGCUAUUGCAUUUGCAAGAGGUUAAAUAACGGUAAGUUAAUAUUAAAUAAAUGAGUGACUAAUUUUUGUUUAAAACAUAUGCGACCACAACUAAACUUGGUGACAUGAGGAUAACUUGCACAGUCAUUUACGCAUUGCUCCUUAAUCUAUUUUACAAGGAAUAUGUUAGUCACAUCUUCAAAGCAACUGUAUCAAACGAUACCAACACUAAAGACACUCCUAAUACUACAACAACGCAAAUUUUUAUUGACAAUCUUGACAACAAUGAUGAUGUUAUUAAAACAUGUUUCUAGGACAAUGAGAAUCUCAAUCUUGACAUGGACAUUGAAAUGUUGGACAAUGUUACCAAAAUGUCAAAAGGAUCUAAACUUAUAACUUUAUCCUUUAAACCCUUUUUUUUCAGCUGCAACCAUUGGUAAUGGUAAGGUCCCUGAUUCCACAACAAAUGGUAUUCCAAGAAGUGAAAUCAAGAAAAUUACAGGAACAAUGGUAUAUAUUAUCGAAACCUUCAUGUAAGUGGUAGUAACUUACACGUAUAUAGGACUAAAUUUUGUUAUCAUUUUUCUUCAGACAAAGCAGCUUUCGUCAGGGUUUGCAAUUGAAAUUAUUAACAAAAUGUUAUUUCAAACACCAACACGAAAUUCAAGUGGUGAGAGAAAGAAAUCAAACUCAAAUGGAAAAAAAAGAUGACUAAUAUUUCUAUUAAGAAACCAAAAUACAUCGCGAGAAACAUUCCUAGCUAAAGUAUACUGGUGAAUUUACAUUGUUACAAAAACUUAAAUCCAUAUGUUUUGCUUCAUGGUUGUUAUUUCAUUUACACUAUAUAUGUUGUAUGGUACUUAGACUUACAAUAUGUAUGUUUUAUAACUGAAAUCUUUAUAGAUGUUUAUUGUUGUAGGGUGCAAAACUCAGCUUUCGCCCUACUAAUGACAUAGUUCUAGCUGCAAAAAAAACACAAGUUUGCGCAUACUAAAUACGAAAAAGUGAUGGGUUUGAGGAUCAUAAAGGAUGAAAAUUUAUUAAGAACUAGAAAUGAUUUGAUGCGUCUGCUACCAAAUAUAUGAUUUUAUAAUCACAAUAAUCUUAAUUUUUUGCAACUCUAAGCAUAAAUUUGUAUCUCAAGUUUAAAGCAACCAAAGACUAUCACAUUAACUUCUCAAACAAACUUUUCAAUUGUAAGUGGUGUA
rnacentral:lncRNA from 1 species